UGACCCUUUAACUUAGUCCCGUGAGGCUAACAAGGAAUGCGGAUGAAUAUACAACUAUGUCUUUUAUAGACUUCGUAUAUCCAAAAUCCCCUUGUCUCUCAUGGCAAGGGGAUUUUUUUGU
rfam:Pontibacillus marinus BH030004 = DSM 16465 strain BH030004 contig42, whole genome shotgun sequence.